rnacentral:rRNA from 1 species
GUUUCCUACGGGACGCAGCAGUGAGGAAUAUUGGUCAAUGGGCGAGAGCCUGAACCAGCCAAGUCGCGUGAGGGAAGACGGCCCUACGGGUUGUAAACCUCUUUUGUCAGGGAGCAAGAACGGAUACGUGUAUCCGAGCGAGAGUACCUGAAGAAAAAGCAUCGGCUAACUCCGUGCCAGCAGCCGCGGUAAUACGGAGGAUGCGAGCGUUAUCCGGAUUUAUUGGGUUUAAAGGGUGCGUAGGCGGUCCGUUAAGUCAGCGGUAAAAUUGCGGGGCUCAACCCCGUCGAGCCGUUGAAACUGGC